rnacentral:rRNA from 1 species
AGACGGAGGGUGCAAGCGUUAUCCGGAUUCACUGGGUUUAAAGGGUGCGUAGGUGGACAGGUAAGUCAGUGGUGAAAUCUCCAAGCUUAACUUGGAAACUGCCGUUGAUACUAUCUGUCUUGAAUAUCGUGGAGGUAAGCGGAAUAUGUCAUGUAGCGGUGAAAUGCUUAGAUAUGACAUAGAACACCGAUUGCGAAGGCAGCUUACUACACGAUCAUUGACACUGAGGCACGAAAGCGUGGGGAGCAAACAGGAUUAGAUACCCUGGUAGUCCACGCCCUAAACUAUGAUUACUCGACAUCAGCGAUACACUGUUGGUGUCUGAGCGAAAGCAUUAAGUAAUCCACCUGGGAAGUACGAUCGCAAGAUUGAA